UACGUAGGGGGCAAGCGUUGUCCGGAAUCAUUGGGCGUAAAGCGCGUGUAGGCGGCCCUGUAAGUCCGCUGUGAAAGUCCAGGGCUCAACCCUGGGAUGCCGGUGGAUACUGUCGGGCUCGAGUCCGGAAGAGGCGAGUGGAAUUCCUGGUGUAGCGGUGAAAUGCGCAGAUAUCAGGAAGAACACCCGUGGCGAAGGCGGCUCUCUGGGACGGUACUGACGCUGAGACGCGAAAGCGUGGGGAGCGAACAGG
rnacentral:rRNA from 1 species